rnacentral:lncRNA from 7 species
CAGGUAGAUGUUGCCUCUUCACUACUGUUAUCAUUACUACUUCAUGCUGGACAAUGUUUGGUCGCAAUCUAAGAACAAUAGAAGGUUUUAAAGGAAAAUUACAGGAAUGCCAGUUUCUUCAGAGCAGAUUGCCCCGGAGGCUAAAACACAGUGGAAAGCUGCCUGGAAAGGACAUCGCUAAACGGGCUUAAGUUGUUCUUGUAUUGGAGGAAAAACCUUCAUCCACUGUGGAACCACAUUGUGCAGCUCACGUAGACUUGCCCAGCCUGUGGAGCUGUGUUAUUUUAGUAAUGCCAGAGUAUCUCCAGAGGUCCGUAUUUACACGUUAAGCUGCAUAAUUUGGGCAGGCUACAAACAUACAAGAGGGGUGGGCUUGGGAGGCUACACAAGAUCGUGAGAAGCAUAUUUUUUCUUUCUAAGCAAGCACGUGUACUAGACUCAUUUAGAAGGGAGCAGGGAGUGCAAUAAUUUCAGAUGAAUUCAUGUGCAGCAGGAUGUGAAGGAUGACCUUCAUACCGUGUGUAUUAAAAAUGUGUUUCUCUGGAAUGUAAAUACAAGAGACUUCAGAGAUUCGCUGCAGAUGCUUUGUAAAGAUAACGAAACCAACUUAUAAUAUGGUUGCAAGUGAUCAAUUAUCAACUGCUGUAUGGAGAUGUCCUAAUUCUGAAGUGGUAAUCUUAAUUAUUCCCUGAAAUCAUUUUUAAAGAAAGAAGCUACUAAAUAAAGCAUAUAUAUGUAUUGC